rnacentral:rRNA from 1 species
AUGAAGAAGAACGAACGAAGAACGAGGAAGAAGAAGAAGAACAAGGGAGAAGGAAAAGUAAAGGUAAAAGAUGUAGAUAGAUUUGUUCAAUUGUGUGUUGUUCAAUCGGCCGUCACCUCUCAUCUAUUUAUGAGGCGGCUGGACUUCCCGUACAAGAAAAGGACUAAAAAGUCCAUCCAAAACGUCAAAAACCCUAACCUAACUCGGACAGGAAUCUUUGGCAAUUUCUCGGACCAACUCGGUCUCACCGAUUGGUUCAUUUCGGUCCUACCAAGUCAACAUUGCCAACUCUCUGGUAAACUUUCGGACCAACUCGGUCUCACCGAUCAAAUCAACUCGGUCGGUCCGAAAUGA